rnacentral:piRNA from 1 species
UGGAAAGCCUUCACAGGGCGGCCUGGAC